rnacentral:lncRNA from 10 species
UGAGGACACAGUGAGAAGGCAGCUAUUUGCAAGCCAGGAAGAGAGCCAUCACCAAGAACUGAAUCUGCCAGCCCCUUCAUCUUGGAUUUCCCAGCCUCCAAAACUCUACAAGUUAGAGUUGGAUUAUCUACAUUACGAAGAGAGGAAAGUGAUUGUAAAACUAGACUUUAUUUCAUUCAGCAAAGGAAAUUCAUUGGCAGGGUGAGACUAGUCGAAGUGCAGACAUGAGUCCAGCAAGCAGUACCACGUCACUUCCUGUUAGUCCUCUUACUGAAGAGCCAGUGCCUUUCAAGAAUAUUCAGCAUUAUAUCAACUGUACACACAUAUGGUCUGACACAUGCCACUGCAUCAUUAUAGAAGAGCCAAAGGAUAACCAAUUUUGCAUAGACCACAUACCCUAGGGAAUUCUGAAAACCUGACUAACAUCAAUUGAAGAUUGGGGUUCAGGAGGCCUAGAUGAUCCACCAUGACUUAUUCAAAAGUUGAAGAUGAAAGGAAAGAAUAAAGACUCUUU